rnacentral:rRNA from 1 species
GACGAACGCUGGCGGCGUGCUUAACACAUGCAAGUCGAACGAAAGGACGGGAAGAGCUUGCUCUUUCCGGAAUUGAGUGGCAAACGGGUGAGUAACACGUAAACAACCUGCCUUCAGGAUGGGGACAACAGACGGAAACGACUGCUAAUACCGAAUAAGUUCCAAGAGCCGCAUGGCCCAUGGAAGAAAAGGUGGCCUCUACCUGUAAGCUAUCGCCUGAAGAGGGGUUUGCGUCUGAUUAGCUGGUUGGAGGGGUAACGGCCCACCAAGGCGACGAUCAGUAGCCGGUCUGAGAGGAUGAACGGCCACACUGGAACUGAGACACGGUCCAGACUCCUACGGGAGGCAGCAGUGGGGAAUCUUCCGCAAUGGGCGAAAGCCUGACGGAGCAACGCCGCGUGAGUGAUGACGGCC